UCCGAACAUCGGGUACCAUUGCUAGAUGGUCACUUCGAUUAGUACAGGAAUUGGUUCCUGUGUUACCGGCUUAGGUUCGAACCUGUGGGGUCACACACAUUAGAGAUUCCUAUCUGAUCUGAUGACUGGUGAAGAGUCCCAUUGGACAGAGACUCUUCAACCAAGAGUCCUAAUACUCAAAGACUUUGAGUCUUAUGUGUCUGAGACUCUAUGAUCAAAAAUCAGAAUUCUCUGAUCACGAGUUCCACACAUUUUGGGUACCGAGGUC
rnacentral:lncRNA from 1 species